AGCGAACGCUGGCGGCGUGCCUAACGCAUGCUAGUCGAACGUGAAAGGGAGCAAUCCUGAGUAAAGUGGCGUACGGGUGAGUAACGCGUAGAUAAUCUACCCCAGAGUCUGGAAUAACCUGCCGAAAGGCGGGCUAAUACUGGAUAGAGCGAUGGAAUCCGUAAUUGGGUUUUUCGGGAAAGGGAGGAAGCAAUUCCCUUCGCUCUGGGAUGAGUCUGCGUCUCAUUAGCUAGUUGGCGGGGUAACGGCCCACCAAGGCGAUGAUGGGUAGCUGGUCUGAGAGGAUGAUCAGCCACACUGGAACUGAAACACGGUCCCGAGUCCUACGGGAGGAAGCGGUGGGGAAUCUUGCGCAAUGGACGAAGGUCUGACGCAGCCACGCCGCGUGAGUGAAGAAGGCCUUCGGGUUGUAAAGCUCUGUCGAGCGGGACGAAAAAUGAUUAGGUGAAAAGCCUAGUCAUCUGACGGUACCGCUAAAGGAAGCACCGGCUAACCCCGUGCCAGCAGCCGCCGUAAAAC
rnacentral:rRNA from 1 species